rnacentral:rRNA from 1 species
UACUCAGUUCGGAUUGAAGGCUGAAAUUCGCCUUCAUGAAGCUGGAAUUGCUAGUAAUGGCAGGUCAGCAUACUGCCGUGAAUACGUUCCCGGGCCUUGUACACACCGCCCGUCACACCAUGAGAGUUGGGAAUACCCGAAGCCUGUGAGCUAACUGUAAGGAGGCAGCAGUCGAAGGUAGAAUCAAUGAUUGGGGUGAAGUCGUAACAAGGUAGC